rnacentral:rRNA from 1 species
GAUGAACGCUGGCGGCGUGCCUAAUACAUGCCAGUCGAGCGAACAGACGAGGAGCUUGCUCCUCUGACGUUAGCGGCGGACGGGUGUGUAACACGUGGAUAACCUACCUAUAAGACUGGGAUAACUUCGGGAAACCGGAGCUAAUACCGGAGAAUAUAUUGAACCGCAUGGUUCAAUAGUGAAAGACGGUUUUGCUGUCACUUAUAGAUGGAUCCGCGCCGCAUUAGCUAGUUGGUAAGGUAACGGCUUACCAAGGCAACGAUGCGUAGCCGACCUGAGAGGGGGGUCGGCCACCCUGGAACUGAGACACGGUCCAGACUCCUACGGGAGGCAGCAGUAGGGAAUGUUCCGCAAUGGGCGAAAGCCUGACGGAGCAACGCCGCGUGAGUGAUGAAGGUCUUCGGAUCGUAAAACUCUGUUAUUAGGGAAGAACAAAUGUGUAAGUAACUAUGCACGUCUUGACGGUACCUAAUCAGAAAGCCACGGCUAACUACGUG